rnacentral:rRNA from 1 species
CCAACAGGGAUUGCCUCAGUAACGGCGAGUGAAGCGGCAACAGCUCAAAUUUGAAAUCUGGCCUCUGGCCCGAGUUGUAAUUUGCAGAGGAUGCUUCGGGCGCGGUGCCUUCCAAGUCCCCUGGAACGGGGCGCCGGAGAGGGUGAGAGCCCCGUACGGUUGGCGGCCAAGCCUGUGUGAAGCUCCUUCGACGAGUCGAGUAGUUUGGGAAUGCUGCUCUAAGCGGGAGGUAGACCCCUUCUAAAGCUAAAUAUUGGCCAGAGACCGAUAGCGCACAAGUAGAGUGAUCGAAAGAUGAAAAGCACUUUGAAAAGAGGGUUAAACAGCACGUGAAAUUGUUGAAAGGGAAGCGCUUGCGACCAGACGUGCGCCGGGGUGCUCAGCGGGCGUUCUCGCCCGUGCACUCGCCCCGGCGCAGGCCAGCGUCGGUUUGGGCGGGGGGAUAAAGGCGCCUGGAAUGUGGCUCCCUCGGGAGUGUUAUAGCCAGGCGUGCCAUGCCUCCGCCCGGACCGAGGUACGCGUUCUGCAAGGACGCUGGCGUAAUGGUCCCCAGCGACCCGUCUUGAAACACGGACCAAGGAGUCGAGGUUUUGCGCGAGUGUUUGGGUGGAAAACCCGCACGCGUAAUGAAAGUGAACGUAGGUGAGAGCUUCGGCGCAUCACCGACCGAUCCUGAUGUUCUCGGAUGGAUUUGAGUAAGAGCGUAGGGCCUCGGACCCGAAAGAUGGUGAACUAUGCUUGGAUAGGGUGAAGCCAGAGGAAACUCUGGUGGAGGCUCGCAGCGGUUCUGACGUGCAAAUCGAUCGUCAAAUCUGAGCAUGGGGGGCGAAAGACUAAUCGAACCAU